rnacentral:misc_RNA from 1 species
UGUAGAUCACGUGCAAGCAUUGAUCUGAAAAACCAAAUCAGAUUGGAAAAGCAAGAUGAAGAUUAGAUGUAAAAAAUGAAAAUUAUCUACUUAAGCAUCAGGGUCAUGAAAUUUACUACAGCUAUGAAAAACCCAAAACGUAAUCAUGGUCAUAACAAAAUGCUAUCCUGGAAGCAGAAGCAAUUACUCAUUUUAUGUGUAUAAGUGAAUAAAAGUGGGUAUAAUGUCAUCUAAAUGUCAGCUAAUAAGCAAGUAAAUAAAGAAGUGACAACGGUUAAAAAAUACAUACAUUCCCUUGACGUUAGGAGAAUUA